UACGUAGGUGGCAAGCGUUGUCCGGAUUUACUGGGCGUAAAGAGCGCGCAGGCGGUCGUUCAAGUCGCGUGUGAAAGCCCCCGGCUCAACUGGGGAGGGUCACGCGAUACUGAUCGACUGGAAGGCAGGAGAGGGAAGUGGAAUUCCCGGUGUAGUGGUGAAAUGCGUAGAUAUCGGGAGGAACACCAGUGGCGAAGGCGACUUCCUGGCCCGUUCUUGACGCUGAGGCGCGAAAGCUAGGGGAGCAAACGGG
rnacentral:rRNA from 1 species